UUUUGUUUGCAAAAACGUCCGAAUUUUUGAUAAACAUUGCAUCUAAAAACAUGAAGGCUAAACAAUAACGUGCAGAAAGAUUAAAACAUUUGAAAAUCACUUUGAAUGUUGAGGACACUUGAGCAUAUCUUGUCCACAUACUACCCUGGGGCAUCUGUUGUUCCGUUGUGCAGGGCGUCACCUGUGAACAUUCUCCAACAUUU
rnacentral:lncRNA from 1 species